GUAAGUCGCUACAGCCCGGUCGUAGGUCACGUGACGGUGUUUCCCCUCCCUCUGACCCCCCCCCCCCCCCCCCCCCGCCUCCAGGUUCUGAGAAGAUGGCGAAGGUCUCAGAGCUUUACGAUGUCACUUGGGAAGAGAUGCGAGAUAAAAUGAGAAAAUGGAGAGAAGAAAACUCACGAAAUAGUGAGCAAAUUGUGGAAGUUGGAGAGGAAUUAAUUAAUGAAUAUGCUUCUAAGCUUGGAGAUGAUAUUUGGAUCAUAUAUGAACAAGUAAUGAUUGCAGCCCUAGACUAUGGUCGAGAUGACUUGGCAUUGUUUUGUCUUCAGGAGUUGAGAAGACAGUUCCCUGGCAGUCAUAGAGUCAAGAGACUAACUGGGAUGAGAUUUGAAGCCAUGGAAAGAUACGAUGAUGCUAUACAACUGUAUGAUCGAAUUUUACAAGAAGAUCCAACUAACACUGCUGCAAGAAAGCGUAAGAUUGCCAUUCGAAAAGCCCAGGGGAAAAAUGUGGAGGCCAUUCGGGAACUGAAUGAGUAUCUGGAACAAUUUGUUGGAGACCAAGAAGCCUGGCAUGAACUUGCAGAACUUUAUAUCAAUGAACAUGACUAUGCUAAGGCAGCCUUUUGCUUAGAAGAGCUAAUGAUGACUAAUCCACACAACCACUUAUACUGUCAGCAGUAUGCUGAAGUUAAAUAUACUCAAGGUGGACUUGAAAACCUCGAACUUUCACGAAAGUAUUUUGCACAGGCAUUGAAACUGAACAACAGAAAUAUGAGAGCUUUGUUUGGGCUUUACAUGUCGGCAAGUCAUAUUGCUUCUAAUCCAAAAGCAAGUGCAAAAACAAAAAAGGACAACAUGAAAUAUGCUAGUUGGGCAGCUAGUCAAAUAAACAGAGCUUAUCAGUUUGCAGGUCGAAGUAAGAAGGAAACCAAAUACUCUCUUAAGGCAGUCGAAGACAUGUUGGAAACGCUGCAGAUCACUCAGUCUUAAGCUUGAAGAACUCCUUUCAGCUUUUCAUAGAAGGCAGUUUUGGUGGUGAUGAAUCCCUGAAGCUUUUGUUUGUUGGGAAAGGUGUUUAUUUAGCCUUCAUUUCUGAAGGACAAUUUUACCAGGCAAUUCCUGAAUCUUCAUUUCUUUGACAUCAUUUAUGGGAAAUUUACUGUGUUCCUUUGAUGGUGUCAUGUUGCCCUGAUUCUUCAUGAUUCCAGUAGUCUUGCAUACGUGUCUAUACAUUUGAGGAAGGAGUCACCUCUUCCAGACUUUAUGGACUGACUUUGCUUAUCAUAUAUAUCCGCAAAGCAGAAAGAAGUGCCAUUUCUCUCCAAAAUGAAAGAAUGGAACAUUCUCCAGAAGAAGAGUGAAUUAUUCUCUCCCUCCUGGUCUCUUUGCUGUGCCCUCUGCUGUUAAAUCCACUUCCAUGCUCUCAGUGAUCUUCCAUAAAACCAUGAGCACGUCAAAUUCUGAGAUAUUCUUCUCAUCUGUUUGUGGAAAAUGCUAACGCAGACCCUCAAGAAGUUCACAACCAGAAUUAACUCUGUACAUCAAGAGCGUCUUCUUCUACCAAGGACAGUUCCAAGGUGUUUUCAUUCGUGCCGGUUUUCAUCCUGAAGUUGAAAGAACCAUAGAGUUUUGCAGACUCUUUGGAAGAGGCAAACCUGUUGCGACGAUAUAGCUCCCCCUUCCACAUAGACAUCAUCAGCAAACAGGACAGAACGACCCCCCCAAGAGUGAGCAGGCAGAGUCCCGCAAUCACACAGCGAUCCAGGUGAGCCCCCAACCUUGCGCUCUCCUUCUCCAAGCGUUCCAUCUCCCGGGCCGCCACGGUGUUGGGAUCCACAGUCACUUCCCGUGGAACAAUGUAAGAGAUGAUCACCAGCAAGAUGCCAGUGACCAAGAACAAGAUGGCACUGAUGAAACCAUAGUCAACUGACCUCCCUGAAGAUGUGGCUUCCGAACUUACAUCAUCCUCAUCUUCGGAUAUCAAGGAUACGGCAGCCUCAUGGGACCACUCGUUUGGAUUUCCCCAGCCAACGUCUCCCAGGUGAUUGCUCCCUUUUGCUGAAGGGGAGCAUCGGUUCCUUUGCUCUAAGUUGACAUUCUCAUCCACACAGGUAAAAGAAGUUUCUAAUUCCUGGCUGCAGCAGUUGCAGACUUUCCGCCCUGCUGUUAUUUGGUUGUUCCCUGAGUUGAGAGGUCCUGGUGGCAAGGAGUCUGUCUGAAUAACUCUGUCUUGCAAAGAGGAGGAGGGGGAUGCUGGAGAAGGACUAAGUUUAGAUCCUUCAAUCUCAGCUGCUUUUGGUGUUGACGUACAGUGUCUCUGGCAGCAGAGAGCAGCUUUGAUGGCUGCUGCAUCUGCCUGGCCAUCAGGAGGGCCUCCUGAAUGCCAGUCCCCAGCAUCGCACAGGACAGCCUGGCUGCUCUUCUUAGCAAGGGAGUGGAGCUCCAUCGGAGCUAGUCAGACAUCCCCCAGCAGCUUCUGAGAAUUCUGCCAACAGCAACACAGAUAAGAACCCAACAAGAGCUAAGGCUGCACUACCAAGAGUAUCGCUCCUGAGGUCCCCAUCUCCUUUUCAGCCACAACUGUAGACACCUCAGCCCCAAUUCCUCUAAAAGGAGUAAAAGAAAGGAGAGGAUACCUAGUGGCAAGAAAGUAUGAAGAGGGCAAAUCCUCUGACUUAUCACCGGGAUUAACACUGAGAAACUUAGGUCAGGGUAGAAAAGAAGCACAGAGGAAGUAGCAGUGUCUCUGAAGAAAGCAUUGCCGUCACCAAGCCAAAUUUAUCCAAGGACUCACACAUUACUGUGACAGGAUCCCUCAAAUAAGAAGGCAAGUUUCCUGUAGAGAGACACAAAUGAGAAAGGCAGGGACCUUUUUUAGCAGAGCCGCGAUUUUCUGGAGAACCUGGGGAAGCACACACUUCUCAACAAUUCAGUUAAAUUACGUUUACACUAUCUUUGUUCAGAACAGAUUCUAAUACAGAUUAGCUUUACAGCAUCACCAUGGACGAACAAAUAUGUCAUCAUCAGCUGGGCUUUAUUGGAACUGGGGCUCAGCAUUUUGAUUGAGUAGCUGAAGUGGGUAAAAGAUGGCUGGUUUAAUCAGCCACCUUUCUUAAACUUACACCUCAUACAUCCAAUGACCUUAGUCAACCAGCCCUGUAUUUUCAAGACCCUUGCUUGUUCGUUGUGCUUUCUUUCUCAGCCCUUGUGGCUACAUGACACCAGCUUGUUCUGGACCCAGAAGUAUGCAGACAACAUGCCUUAACUGUGUGACCCCUGCCAAAUAUGAGGGGCCAGCCCACUCCACACCCUUCCCCCCAACACACCUACCUGCUCUGGGUACAGGUCUGCUACUCUUGCUCACUGCGUCUGAAUGGGUCUGAGUUCAUCUCCCUCUGCCUACUUUGCUAAGAAACAUGCAUGCCAAAUUGACCAUCUGAAAGUUUUUAUUUAGAAGUAAACUGACAGUAAAAGACAAACUAUAAACCCACAGAGUCAACAGUUUGUGAGGUAAGCAGGUGAGAAGCUAUUUCCAAAGUUCCAAAAUUACCUUUGGCACUUUGUAUCCAUGACAUGCCCUUACCCCCACCACAGCACGGGACCUUUCUGUGAUAGAACUUUGGGUUGAGCAGAAAACUGCCUAUCUUUCUCUGCUUCUACCAUCCUUUGCAGGAUAGACUCCCUUUUCACUGUCACCAAGUACAGCAGUUUCAAGCAAAGGCCCUCUUUAUUUUGCUUUCCAGUAAUAAUUGAUUUAAACCAUGGUUUGUGGGUUUAUUAUGCUCACAAUCCACAGCUCCAACACCUGGUAACCCACACAGAUGCACAAGUAAGGCUCACCUAAUGGUCUACCUGGCAACUCACUUAAAAUACGGGAGAGGGAAUCCACAUCCUUGCUGCUCUACGUUACAGUUUGUUUUGUUUUUAAAAAAAACCACUUCUCUCCUACUACCAAAGUUUCUCUGUAGCUAAAACAGAAAAACAAAACAAAAUACAAAAAGACCAAAUGCAAAAAACAUUCAAGUGAACCAGAACUUUCCUUUAGCAAGUGGAUACGGAUCUCUACAGCUGGAUCCCUCCAGGAAGGAAGUGGUGACAAUGUAUUUGAUCAAUUCCUGAAAUGAAAAAUCAUCUCGCUGUGCCCUCAGACAUGAGGUUCUCUGAUUAACUUUUGGCACGAUUAACUCAUCACAUUGGGCUUUUUUUUUUUUUUUUUUUGAUUAAAAUGGGCAGAGCCCCUCAUGAGACUUCCCCAUUUAUAACAGAGGGAAUGAAAUCUCCACUUAAUUCCCGUCUCCUGCUUCCCUCUCUCUUUAAAGAAAAGAUAGACUCUGCUUGUUCCAUCGGAGAUAUACUAGCUGCACAGUCGAUUCCCUUUGCAGCUCCGUAAUCCGGGGCUUCCAUCCUCAGUAGAGAAAGGAUAAUCCCAUGGGACCAGCUAAAGGCUCUUUCCUUCCGUCUCCUGCCUCUCCGUCUUUCUGGUUAAGAGCGCGGUUAAUGAAAUUGCACCUCAAAGCGAGGGGACAGCACUUUGCCUCCUUCGUCUGUCAUUAACUAAACAUUAAUAUCUGCACUGGAACUAACUAAUACGGGCGAGGCUGAUCUGGGGAAGCGACCUCGGGAUCCGUCCAGCGCUCACUGUGCGAGAAGAGCGCGCAGCAAGCUCCGGGAAGCGGUGCUCCCUGCGAGAUCAAUCCAUUCAUUCCGGGUGAACCUCAGGGCGCCCAGAGUCCGGCUGCGUUCGCCAAAUACCCCGAGGCGAGGCAAGCAAGCACCUAGGGCAGGGAGUGGGGGACGCGCUCCGCUGCUCCGCCAGUCUCCCGGGGGGGGGGGGGGGGUCUCUCCCUCGCCCCAGCGCCUCCUCCCGGUCCCACUCUCCGUCACUCACCCCUGCUUUGACCACCACGUGCGGCUGGACCACCGCGCGCCUGUUCCUGCGCGGCUCCACGGGAAAGUCCUCCGAUUACCAGCCGUGGCACUUGUAGCCUCAGCGCGCCGCUGGGCUCCACGGGGUGGGCAGCGCCUGCUGUGCCGGUUGGGAGGGGCGGGGCGGGGCACUCCUUCUUGCUGAGCAUCCCGGGAGUUGUAGUCCAGGGGCGGUCUCCAUCCGCGCCCUACCCCCACCCCGUUCUCUCUCACUCCUGACUUUUGCCCUUCCUGAAGACAUUCCCGCUAUACCUUCAGACUCCUGAUUGGCUCUUUGGAAGAAAUCGCUGUGUCCUAAACUCAAGGUUGGGUCCUUCAGCCUCAGGAGAGGAAACUGAAUUACAAAGAAGCUGAGUAAUUUGUUUGAAGUUGUAAACUUGAUACUCAGCAGAGGUGGGGCAUGAACUCCAAAAGGUUAUAAGCAUUAUGCAAAUUGAAUGAAUGGAAGAAAGACCAAAAGGGAAAAUGGUGGAUGGAUAGCCAGGAGAGAAGUCUGGAGCCACCAGGGUAAUGGAGGAGAAAGUUCCAGUUGCCAUGCUGAGAAGCUGUGAGCUCCAGAAGCUGCAUACAAACAAACAAAGCUUAUGAAAAUCUGCAAGUCUGAAUUUACCAUAAUCAGACAACAAAGAUUCCAUCAAACCUGGAUUAAGUAAGCCAAAGAAAUAGUUCCAACUCUUGCUCCAAAAGUCCUUUUAGUAGCAGCAGCUUUUAAUGGAGAUGAAGAUAGUGAACCACAGGAAAUACUUCCAGAUGUAAAGAUGAGCAUGAAGAAUAUUGGACCUAUACACCAACACCAGCAGGCCAAACUUCUUCAAUAAAGGAACACAUCAGUUUUCAGAUAAAUGGAAACUUUGGGAACAAAAUAUAAAAUUUCAUUUUGGAAAUGUC